UAUUGAACAAAUCUGCAUGAAGUCUAUAAAAGCCAUCUAGUACAUCAAAUGAGCAACAAGGUGAAAGCAUGACUGUUAGAAGACUCAAGUCAAAAAAGCAGUGUUCAAUCAUUUCCCUUCCAUUCACAAGAUAUCCACCCAUCUCGUGAUCAAUAAACAAUAGCCUGACUCAUUAAAUACAAAGCAUUGGCUGUGUGAAAUGGUGCCUUUUCCCUUAGGAUUAAUGUUUUAUUUCAUAAAAAGGUAUACAUUUUUUGUGAUGUUGGCACUUGGCAGAGGUGCCCCCAAGCCUGGGUUACAAACUGGGGAAAGUGGGUGACUACCUGGGGCCCAGACCUGUAAGGGCCCCCCAAAACUCCAAGUUGGUUGGUAGUUGAUUUCACUGUACUUCCAAAUACAGCAAUAUGUUACCUCCACUACAAAGCAGCUACCACAGGAAACCCUGCGUAAUGUACUGGUGCUGAGUAGAGUAAAGUACCAGUAUUUUAAUUAGCCUAACUGGUCAAACUUACACUAUCUGAUGAUUGGAUUCUUGAUCUGUCUGGAGAUGUGGAAACAUGACUGGGUGAUUCCUUGGCCAAAAUGUCAUGCUGGUGAAGAAUAUGGAGGCAUCAUGAAUCAUUGCUGUCCAAGAGUGAUCAAUAUCCUCAUUCCUCCUGGCCUUGGAUCCUCUCUAGCAGAUGCUGUUCUACUCGCUGAUUCAUGCG